rnacentral:tRNA from 2 species
AUUUAAAUAGUUUAAUUUAAAAUAUUAAUUUGUGGAAUUAAAGAUUAUUUUUUAUAUUUAAAUA